rnacentral:ribozyme from 1 species
AUGGAAAGUACAAUAUACAAUGGCAAAAAGGAAAAGGAAAAGGAAAGGGCUGUGGAAACUUUUUAUUCAUCUGCAGAUUUUUAUUUUAUUUUUU